rnacentral:rRNA from 1 species
ACGUACACUCCUGCGGGAGGCAGCAGUGGGGAAUAUUGCACAAUGGGCGCAAGCCUGAUGCAGCCAUGCCGCGUGUAUGAAGAAGGCCUUCGGGUUGUAAAGUACUUUCAGCGGGGAGGAAGGCGAUAAGGUUAAUAACCUUGUUGAUUGACGUUACCCGCAGAAGAAGCACCGGCUAACUCCGUGCCAGCAGCCGCGGUAAUACGGAGGGUGCAAGCGUUAAUCGGAAUUACUGGGCGUAAAGCGCACGCAGGCGGUCUGUCAAGUCGGAUGUGAAAUCCCCGGGCUCAACCUGGGAACUGCAUUCGAAACUGGCAGGCUAGAGUCUUGUAGAGGGGGGUAGAAUUCCAGGUGUAGCGGUGAAAUGCGUAGAGAUCUGGAGGAAUACCGGUGGCGAAGGCGGCCCCCUGGACAAAGACUGACGCUCAGGUGCGAAAGCGUGGGGAGCAAACAGGAUUAGAAACCCCGGUAGUCCCAUGAU